rnacentral:rRNA from 1 species
UACGUAGGGUGCGAGCGUUAAUCGGAAUUACUGGGCGUAAAGCGUGCGCAGGCGGUUUUGUAAGCCAGAUGUGAAAGCCCCGGGCUUAACCUGGGAAUGGCAUUUGGGACUGCAAGGCUUGAGACCAGGAGAGGUGAGUGGAAUUCCCAGUGUAGCGGUGAAAUGCGUAGAUAUUGGGAGGAACACCAGUGGCGAAGGCGGCUCACUGGACUGGUACUGACGCUGAGGCGCGAAAGCGUGGGGAGCAAACAGG